rfam:Brassica oleracea var. oleracea cultivar TO1000 chromosome C2, whole genome shotgun sequence
AAACCAUGAUGUGGGCAUUUGGUUUGAUAGCCUUUGAAUCUCUCCGAGGCUUCACUGAAUCCUUUCAAGUUCUUCUGUUGGAAACUGGAGAUCUCAGCUUAGCAGUUC